rnacentral:rRNA from 1 species
GUAACACGUGGGGAACCUGCCCAUAAGAGGGGGAUAACAUCCGGAAACGGGUGCUAAUACCGCAUAGGUGAUCAUAGCGCAUGCUUAGAUCAUUAAAGAUGGCUUCGGCUAUCGCUUAUGGAUGGCCCCGCGGCGUAUUAGCUAGUUGGUGAGGUAAUGGCUCACCAAGGCUGUGAUACGUAGCCGACCUGAGAGGGUGAUCGGCCACACUGGAACUGAGACACGGUCCAGACUCCUACGGGAGGCAGCAGUAGGGAAUCUUCCACAAUGGGCGAAAGCCUGAUGGAGCAAUACCGCGUGAGUGAAGAAGGUCUUCGGAUCGUAAAGCUCUGUUGUUAGAGAAGAACAAGAGGUGUAGUAACUGGCACCUCCUUGACGGUAUCUAACCAGAAAGUCACGGCUAACUACGUGCCAGCAGCCGCGGUAAUACGUAGGUGACAAGCGUUGUCCGGAUUUAUUGGGCGUAAAGCGAGCGCAGGCGGUCUUUUAAGUCUGAUGUGAAAGCCCACGGCUCAACCGUGGAGGGUCAUUGGAAACUGGAAGACUUGAAUGCAGAAGAGGAAAGUGGAAUUCCAUGUGUAGCGGUGAAAUGCGUAGAUAUAUGGAGGAACACCAGUGGCGAAGGCGACUUUCUGGUCUGUAAUUGACGCUGAGGCUCGAAAGCGUGGGGAGCGAACAGGAUUAGAUACCCUGGUAGUCCACGCCGUAAACGAUG